AUCUGAGGGUCCAGGGUUCGAGUCCCUGUUCGGGCACCAAGAUCGGUAGAGCA
rnacentral:lncRNA from 1 species